rnacentral:lncRNA from 1 species
GCUGAAUAAUGCUUUUUGAUUCGUGGAAGAGAUGGCUGGUGAACAUCUGGAAAAGAAAGAACCAAGUAGAUUAGGGAAUACUGGCAAGUUAAUUUUAGUAGGGUUUGAAGAAUCAGUCAUCCAUGCUAUUAUUAUGGAAAAGUUCAAGAGCUGAGGGAAAGAUAGUAGUAUGGUUAGAUUAAUCUAGUAGUAGUAGUACAUUCAGGUUAUCAAUACUCCGAGGUUACCUUGAAAGGAGUUCUCCAGUGGAACUACCCUGGAGGUUUGUAUUUGGCCCUUUUGGCAUUUGAAGCCUAUCAUAAUCUGCUUCCCCAUCCACCCCUAAUACCUUUCCAGUUUUUUAUGCACCCCACUUUCAAAUCCCUUUUACAAUUUCACCUAUUACAAACUUUUCCUGGCCCUGUGUUAACAUCAUUGCUUUCCAGAUCAUAAAAAAGGGGAAAGGACCCACAUGUGCAGAAAUAUUUGUAACGGUCCUUUUUGUAAUGGCAAGGAACCAGAAGCUUAAUGGAUUCCCAUCAGAUGGGGAAUGGCUGAAUAAAUUAUAGUAUAUGAAUGUUAUGGAAUAUUAUUGUUCUAUAAGAAACAAUCAGCAGGAUGAUUCCAGAGAGGCCUGGAGAGACUUACAUGAACUUCUUGCUGAGUGAAGGGAGCAGAAACAAUAUAGCAACAAGAAGAUUAUGUGAUGAUCAACUAUGAUGCACUUGGCUUUUUUCAACAAUAAGGUGAUUCAGGCUAGUUUCAAUGGUCUUGUGAUGGAGAGAGCCAUCUACACUCAAAAGAGAGGACAAUGGGAACUGAGUGUGGACUACAACAUGGCAUUUUUCACUUUUUUGGGUUUUUUUUGCUUGUUUUUUUUCUUUCUCACUUUUUUUUUUUUACUUUUUGAUCUGAUUUUUCUUGUGCAACUUGAUAAUGUGGAGAUAUGUAUAGAAAAAUUGCACAUUUGGCAGAAAUUGGAUUACUUAUGGUCUAAGGAGGGAAUGGACAGAAAGGGAGGGAGAAAAAAUUUGGAACACAAGGUUUUGCAAGGGCGAAUGUUGAAAACUAUCUGCAUGUGUUUUGAAAAUAAAAAGCUUUAAAAAUAUAUAUUUUUUAAACCCACUACUGCCUUCUCUCCAAGAUGACCCUGAAUGUAUCC